rnacentral:tRNA from 1 species
GUGGGCGUGGCGGAAUUGGUAUACGCAGCAGACUUAAAAUCUGCCGGUGUUUCAAGCACUUACGGGUUCAAGUCCCGUCGCCCACACCA